rfam:Rhizobacter sp. Root1221 contig_20, whole genome shotgun sequence.
GCGUUCCUCACUGGAGAGAGGCUGGUGACCCGGAAACGGGUGAGCCGGUCCACCGAAGGGGCAAGCGGCAGGUGUCGGCAUGAACCCCCGCCAAUCUCUCAGGUAAAGCGGACAGCGAGGGCAUC